rnacentral:pre_miRNA from 1 species
AAAGUAAUCUUUAAUCUGAUUGGUUUUCAUCGAAAUGAAGAAUAUCCAAUUAGAUUGGAGAUGGCUUCUU